UCUAAUGAAAUCUGAUGCCCUCUUCUGGA
rnacentral:piRNA from 1 species